GCCGCGGCCCGGGUUCGAUUCCCGGUCAGG
rnacentral:piRNA from 8 species